UCUGAGCUGAACUUUCCUAAGCCUGAGAUCUCCUCCAUCAGCCCCAGCAUUGUGUCUUUCUAUGGAAGAAACCACGCAGUGUUGUCAGGUGGUAACCUCAGCGGUGUGACCGGAGUGAGGAUGCAGGCAGACCUGGACUGUACGCCACAGGAGUCUCCUGUCUGGAACAACAGCGGCUCCAGUUUGACCUUCCACAUUCCCAGAGCAAACCGUAAAGGGACAGUGAAAGCCUGCGUUCUCCUCCCAGACGGCAGUUGCCACGGUGACGCAAGCAUCACCUACCAGCCGUCACCUUCCUGUCGAGACAU